rnacentral:rRNA from 1 species
GCUCAGGAUGAACGCUAGCUACAGGCUUAACACAUGCAAGUCGAGGGGCAUCAGGAAGAAAGCUUGCUUUCUUUGCUGGCGACCGGCGCACGGGUGAGUAACACGUAUCCAACCUGCCCUUUACUCGGGGAUAGCCUUUCGAAAGAAAGAUUAAUACCCGAUGGCAUAAUGAUUCCGCAUGGUUUCAUUAUUAAAGGAUUCCGGUAAAGGAUGGGGAUGCGUUCCAUUAGGUUGUUGGUGAGGUAACGGCUCACCAAGUCUUCGAUGGAUAGGGGUUCUGAGAGGAAGGUCCCCCACAUUGGUACUGAGACACGGACCAAACUCCUACGGGAGGCAGCAGUGAGGAAUAUUGGUCAAUGGGCGAGAGCCUGAACCAGCCAA